UACGCUCCCUCCCAGCUCCAGCUUUUCCAAGGAUAAGUCGUUUCCAGGCUACACACCUUGUAGCCAAGCUGUUUCUUUUGUGGAAACAGCUGAAUUCACUUUGAAGCCCAGCCUGGCCUCAAAACUGUGGUGAUCCUCCUGCUUCAGCCUCCCAAGUGCUGACAUGACUAUCAAGAGUGGUGACAUCCAGCUUCAGCAUUCUUUCUUACUGGGCAGAAGAGACUAACAGCUUCCCAGCAUUGAUGGGGUCAUUGGACCUCAAAUUUUAUUUCUAACAUUUCUGCUUGUGUUUGCUGUUGAAGAUGUGAGCUCUCAUCUUCCUGCUCCCUGACAGCUGCUUGAUGAUGUGCCUCCCUGCCAUGAUGGACUCUCACCUUCUCUUUGGAACCUUAAGCUAAAAUA